rnacentral:rRNA from 1 species
AAAUUGAAGAGUUUGAUCAUGGCUCAGAUUGAACGCUGGCGGCAGGCCUAACACAUGCAAGUCGAGCGGUAGCACAGAGAGCUUGCUCUCGGGUGACGAGCGGCGGACGGGUGAGUAAUGUCUGGGAAACUGCCUGAUGGAGGGGGAUAACUACUGGAAACGGUAGCUAAUACCGCAUAACGUCGCAAGACCAAAGUGGGGGACCUUCGGGCCUCAUGCCAUCAGAUGUGCCCAGAUGGGAUUAGCUAGUAGGUGGGGUAACGGCUCACCUAGGCGACGAUCCCUAGCUGGUCUGAGAGGAUGACCAGCCACACUGGAACUGAGACACGGUCCAGACUCCUACGGGAGGCAGCAGUGGGGAAUAUUGCACAAUGGGCGCAAGCCUGAUGCAGCCAUGCCGCGUGUGUGAAGAAGGCCUUCGGGUUGUAAAGCACUUUCAGCGGGGAGGAAGGCGUUAAGGUUAAUAACCUUGGCGAUUGACGUUACCCGCAGAAGAAGCACCGGCUAACUCCGUGCCAGCAGCCGCGGUAAUACGGAGGGUGCAAGCGUUAAUCGGAAUUACUGGGCGUAAAGCGCACGCAGGCGGUCUGUCAAGUCGGAUGUGAAAUCCCCGGGCUCAACCUGGGAACUGCAUUCGAAACUGGCAGGCUAGAGUCUUGUAGAGGGGGGUAGAAUUCCAGGUGUAGCGGUGAAAUGCGUAGAGAUCUGGAGGAAUACCGGUGGCGAAGGCGGCCCCCUGGACAAAGACUGACGCUCAGGUGCGAAAGCGUGGGGAGCAAACAGGAUUAGAUACCCUGGUAGUCCACGCCGUAAACGAUGUCGAUUUGGAGGUUGUGCCCUUGAGGCGUGGCUUCCGGAGCUAACGCGUUAAAUCGACCGUCUGGGGAGUACGGCCGCAAGGUUAAAACUCAAAUGAAUUGACGGGGGCCCGCACAAGCGGUGGAGCAUGUGGUUUAAUUCGAUGCAACGCGAAGAACCUUACCUGGUCUUGACAUCCACAGAACUUUCCAGAGAUGGAUUGGUGCCUUCGGGAACUGUGAGACAGGUGCUGCAUGGCUGUCGUCAGCUCGUGUUGUGAAAUGUUGGGUUAAGUCCCGCAACGAGCGCAACCCUUAUCCUUUGUUGCCAGCGGUUCGGCCGGGAACUCAAAGGAGACUGCCAGUGAUAAACUGGAGGAAGGUGGGGAUGACGUCAAGUCAUCAUGGCCCUUACGACCAGGGCUACACACGUGCUACAAUGGCAUAUACAAAGAGAAGCGACCUCGCGAGAGCAAGCGGACCUCAUAAAGUAUGUCGUAGUCCGGAUUGGAGUCUGCAACUCGACUCCAUGAAGUCGGAAUCGCUAGUAAUCGUAGAUCAGAAUGCUACGGUGAAUACGUUCCCGGGCCUUGUACACACCGCCCGUCACACCAUGGGAGUGGGUUGCAAAAGAAGUAGGUAGCUUAACCUUCGGGAGGGCGCUUACCACUUUGUGAUUCAUGACUGGGGUGAAGUCGUAACAAGGUAACCGUAGGGGAACCUGCGGUUGGAUCACCUCCUUA